UCCUACGGGAGGCAGCAGCAGGGAAUAUUGUGCAAUGAACGAAAGUUUGACACAGCGACACCGCGUGUGGGAUGACGGAUCUAGGUUUGUAAACCACUUUCAGGAGGGAAGAAAAUGACGGUACCUCCAUAAGAAGCCCCGGCCAACUACGUGCCAGCAGCCGCGGUAAUACGUAGGGGGCGAGCGUUGUCCGGAUUUAUUGGGCGUAAAGAGCUCGUAGGCGGUUCAACAAGUCGGUCGUGAAAGUUCAGGGCUCAACCCUGAAAUGUCGAUCGAUACUGUUGUGACUAGGAUACGGUAGAGGUGAGUGGAAUUCCGAGUGUAGCGGUGAAAUGCGUAGAUAUUCGGAGGAACACCAAUUGCGAAGGCAGCUCACUGGGCCGCUAUCGACGCUGAGGAGCGAAAGCUAGGGGAGCAAACAGGAUUAGAUACCCUGGUAGUCCUAGCUGUAAACGAUGGAUACUAGACGUAGGAACUGGAUUGACGGUUUCUGUGUCGCAGCUAACGCGUUAAGUAUCCCGCCUGGGGAGUACGGUCGCAAGACUAAAACUCA
rnacentral:rRNA from 1 species